GUGCCAGCAGCCGCGGUAAUACGAAGGUCCCGAGCGUUAUCCGGAUUUAUUGGGUUUAAAGGGUGCGUAGGCGGGUUAUUAAGUCAGUGGUGAAAGCCUACAGCUUAACUGUAGAAUUGCCAUUGAUACUGAUGAUCUUGAGUAUGAUUGAGGUGGGCGGAAUGUGUCAUGUAGCGGUGAAAUGCUUAGAUAUGACACAGAACACCGAUUGCGAAGGCAGCUCACUAAGUCAUAACUGACGCUGAUGCACGAAAGCGUGGGGAGCAAACAGGAUUAGAUACCCUGGUAGUCC
rnacentral:rRNA from 1 species